rnacentral:rRNA from 1 species
CGUGCCUAUUGAAGAAUGAACCGACGACUUGAUCUAUGUGGCUAGGUUAAGCAACUUCGUUGCGGAGCCGAAGCGAAAGCGAGUCCGAAUAGGGCGAUGAGUCGCGUGGAUCAGACCCGAAACCGAGUGAUCUACCCAUGGCCAGAGUGAAGCUCAAGUAAAAUUGAGUGGAGGCUCGAACUUGUGAGUGAGACAAAACUCUAGGAUGAGCUGUGGGUAGUGCAGGUGAAAUGCCAAACGAACUCGGAGAUAGCUGGUUCUCCCCGAAAUGCAUUUAGGUGCAGCCUCAGGAAGUAAUUUAUGGAGGUAGAGCUCUGGAUGGGCCAGGGGCCGUGAGGUUGCCGAACUCAACCAAACUGCAAAUGCCAUAAAUGUAACCCUGGGAGUGAGACUGUGGAGGCUAAGCUCCAUAGUCGAGAGGGAAACAACCCAGACCAUCAGCUAAGGUCCCAAAAGCAGGCUAAGUGGAAAAGGAAGUGGUGCCGCAGAAACAGCCAGGAGGUUGGCUCAGAAGCAGCCAUCCUUUAAAGAGUGCGUAACAGCUCACUGGUCGAGUGGUGCUGCACCGAUAAUUUAACGGGGCUCAAGUCUGCUACCGAAGCUAUGGCAUUGCCGUAAGGCAAUGGGUAGGGGAGCGUUGUCUAAGCUGCGAAGCUGUGGCGUAAGCCAUGGUGGAGCUAUGACAAGUGAGAAUGUCGGUAUGAGUAGCGUAAAGGCAUGUGAAAACCAUGCCCACCGUAAACCUAAGGUUUCCUAUGCAACGUCAAUCGGCAUAGGGUUAGUCAGGCCUAAGCCAAACCCUAAUGGGGUAGGCGAUGGAUAGUAGGUU